CAAUCCCUUAAGAUAAAUCCCUCUGCAUAUAUAACUAAUUGUGUUUCUUUGGAAAACAUAAGUGGGUCCCCAUUAGGAAAUUUCUCACAGUUAGCAGAUUAUGAUCAACUCUGGGAAGAGAAGAGCAGAACUAUUUUGAGAUAUAAAUAUAAAAUGCUUGGCCUCGUAAACCCAGAUAAGAUGUGUCUAAAAUCAUGUCUGUGCCGGGCUGGAGCAGGAUGUGUUUCAGAGAGAAGCAAGGAAAAGUAGAAAAAUAGCAGCAGCAGCAGCAGCAGGAAAGAUCACCACUACAACCACCACCACCACCAUCACCACAGACAGCUACAAGCCAACCCACUAACAAAAUAUGAUGGAAGAAGCCCAUAUAGAUGCAGAAGGACUUCACAAAAUGGCCCAGCACCAAGGACCCAUAACUAUCCAGGCCUUUUCACUCUCUGCCUUUUGGUAAGAUUCAGUUAUUUCAUUUGUAUUACCAUAUUAUCAUUAUUAUUUGUACUAGGGAACGAACUCAGGACCUUGCACUUGUGAAGUAGGCAUGGUGCCAUUGAGCUAAAUCCCUGGCCCAGUAUUAUUACUUUUCUUUUUUUUUUCCCCAGUACCAAGGAUUGAACUCAGUACCUUGCUCUUGUGAGGCAGGCACAGUGACACUGAGCUAAAUCCCAGGACCGGUAUUAUUUUUGAGACGGGUUCUCACUAUGCAGUUUAGGCUGGCCGUGGACUCAUUAUAUAACCCAGGUUGGCCUCAAACUCAUAGUGAUCUUCCUGCUGCAGCCUUCUGAAUGUAAGUAUGAGCCAC
rnacentral:lncRNA from 1 species